GAUGAAGAACGUAGCGAAAUGCGAUAAGUAAUGUGAAUUGCAGAAUUCAGUGAAUCAUCGAAUCUUUGAACGCACAUUGCGCCCGCCAGUAUUCUGGCGGGCAUGCCUGUUCGAGCGUCAUUACAACCCUCAGGCCCCCGGGCCUGGCGUUGGGGAUCGGCGGAAGCCCCCUGUGGGCACACGCCGUCCCUCAAAUACAGUGGCGGUCCCGCCGCAGCUUCCAUUGCGUAGUAGCUAACACCUCGCAACUGGAGAGCGGCGCGGCCAUGCCGUAAAACACCCAACUUCUGAAUGUUGACCUCGAAUCAGGUAGGAAUACCCGCUGAACUUAAGCAUAUCAAUAAGAGGAGGA
rnacentral:misc_RNA from 1 species